AACCUUUACACUGCACGACAGUGCGAUAGGGGGACUCCGAGUGCGGGGGCAUAGAGCCCUCGCUUUUGUACACCGUAAGGUGGUGUACGAAUAAGAACUGGGCAAGACCGGUGCCAGCCGCCGCGGUAAUACCGGCAGUUCGAGUGAUGGCCGAUUUUAUUGGGCCUAAAGCGUUCGUAGCUGGCCGAUCAAGUCUGUCGGGAAAUCUGCUCGCCUAACGAGCAGGCGUCCGGCGGAAACUGAUCGGCUUGGGACCGGAAGACUCGAGGGGUACGUCCGGGGUAGGAGUGAAAUCCUGUAAUCCUGGACGGACCACCGAUGGCGAAAGCACCUUGAGAGGACGGGCCCGACGGUGAGGGACGAAAGCCAGGGUCUCGAACCGGAUUAGAUACCCGGGUAGUCCCAGCUGUCAACGAUGCCCGCUAGGUAUGGCGCAGGCUACGAGCCUGUGCUAUGCCGUAGCGAAGGCGCUAAGCGGGCCGCCUGGGAAGUACGUUCGCAAGAAUGAAACUUAA
rnacentral:rRNA from 1 species